GACCCUGCUCUUUUUUGCCCACUUGUGUUCCAGAUCUCAGCAGAGGGACUAGCUCAUGGUUCUGCUCAAAAUAUGUGCUGAAUUUAUGAAGCUGUUACUGUUAAGCAGAAAGAACACAUCUGAGAUACAAUGAAGUUAAGAAACUUGCCCAAAUUCACACAUCCAUUACAUGAUGGAGCCAGGACCUGAACCCAGAAGGUCUGUCAUCAGAGGCCACACUCAACACUAUAGCCAUGCACAUGUCAUAUAUGUACAUACAGAAAUUGUCUCAAUGAUUCCAACACUCAAGUUGGCUAUUAAAGAAACGGGAAUAUAUGUGCUGUACAACAUAUGCAAAAAUCUGCUUAUAAAUACUCAAAGCACAGCUGCUUUGCUUGUAGAACUUUGGCAAUUCUGGCAAAUAAAGCAAUGCUACAUUUCA